UGUGUCUGCGUGCUCAGAGGCAAAUGAAAACGACAGAACACAGGAAAUUCAAACAGAUUACAAGCACUGUUGUUUGACCGCUUUACACCGAAUUAUCUCUGCACUGAAUAAUUCCAUCCCUCUCUGCUUCUAUUACUGAAUGCUGUUGUAUCUUAUACUGUCCAACUGACAGGUUUGAAACUUUAUGUUUCACUGUGUGAAACUCUGACUAGACUGUUUCAGUACUACACUGUCAUCUGUGGUUAUCGGUCCAGUAUUUACAUUACGGCAGACAAGUAAUAUUGAACUUGCUGGAACUAUGGGAAAUUCCUUUAGCAAGCGAAGAAAAAAGAAACCUCAAGAAACUGCAGAGACUGGUAACCCAAAUGACACAGCCACAAUGUAUGGUGUCCCUAGACGAGCCUGGGGAUAUGUGGCCUGUACAUGGGGGUAAAAUGAUGACAGAUCAUGGAUUACCCUUUAUCCCCUUCAAACAUCACCUACAGAAGACAUCCUCUAUGCCUCCAUUAAUCACAGUAGUGUCAAAGCAGAAAUGCCUUUGAGAGACCUUGAGGAUAAUGAUUGUGAUUAUGCUGUUGUAAAGAUUCCUGAUGAGAUGACAAACCCGACCAAACACAAAGACAAUGAGGACUGUUCAGAUGAUUAUGUGCUCAUGGGCUGAGCAGUGCACCACUGAUAUGGCUAAAAUCAGCACAUUCCAUCGGAAUGGACAACCUGAGAUAUCUACACACAUUUUUAAAGGCCUGUUGACUUUGUAAAUGAUAUUAUAAUGAUAUUCUGUUUUUUUAAUUAUUAUUUAUUUGUGGGUUUCUAUUAUAAGGUCAGGGUUUUGUUUUUGUUCUUUUCAACGUUCUGUGACUGCAUCUACAGUAUGGGGCUAUAUAAAGCAUGUAAAGGAAUUUUUUUUGUUGUUUUGUUUUGUUUUUGGUUUUUUGCAUUUUGAUGCAUUAAAGGCUCCAUAAAAUCAGAAUUGGAGUUUUGUGGCUUUCAGUCUAUGUCUGUUAGCUUUGAGGCCAUAUAUGCUAGUGUACACCUUAAUUUGUGAAAAUCACCUUUAGCAGAUAUACACAUUUAAUAUUUACAGUAUUUUGUUUUGACAGAUUUCUGUUCUGGAAAAACUUAAAAAAAAAAAAAAAAGUGGGAGUGCAUAGUGGGAGUUCUGUCAGGAAGACUCAUAGUAGCAGUACACCAUUCAUUCAAUUCAGGCAUCAUCCAAUCAUAAUACAGCAUCUGCUUUGUAAGCUCUGCAGCUGUCUUUCAUCACUUUUUACGCGGGUUGAAGAUUUCACACUCACAUGUGAGUGAAACACACAAUCAUGGUACACGCUCUUCAAAUUUGGAUUAUUCGUUGUUUGGUUUACUCACCAUGACGUUCACACUCAGCGCAUCAGGUCGCAAUCAUCAAUAUACACAUAUCCUCUGAUUAUUCUUUUGGGGGAUCAAUUGUCAAUGCAUCUAGCUAGUGAUUGUUGGGGUUUAGGCUUUCCGCUAUCAAUGUUCUUAAUUUUCUGUUCAUCAUAUUCCUUACUACAUCAGUAUCGCUUUUCAAACAGCAAUGCUCGGUGCUCGGUGUACACCGACAUCAUGUUGAGUGAGAAGAUUGCGCAUUCUGCCAGCAUGGCGGAUGCGUCACACAGAAAGACAAGUUCAGGCUCACAUUGCUCAUCUUUUUACAACAGUGUUUGCAUGCCCGAGUAUACUCCUGCAUUGGGGAAUCAAGAUUCAAUUCAUGCGUGUUGAUAAUGCAUAGUACUUCAGUGUAUGUGGUCUGAUUAUCUUUAUCUAACUAUUGUUAAGUUAAUGUUGGUGUUUUAGACUGAUCUGCCUUUCCUCUCUGUUUCUAGUGCUUUUUUCCCUGUCUAGUGUGUUGUGUGUGUUUAUGUUUGACAGAUUGCCAUGCAGACUGGGUUUAUGUUGGUUUGACAGUUCACGUGUUGGUGCGCAGGUGUAGCCACUUAGGCAAUCAGGGCACCAGCUCAUUCUCUUUGAGUUUACUCACCUGUAUUUCAUUGUCCUGACUGUAUUUAUUCCCUCUCUAUGUUUUUCCUGUUUUUCUCUUGACCCUUUUUCUUCGUUCCAGCCCCUAUAUAGCCUCAGUGAUUAAAGCAUUAAAAACUAGUUUUUUUACAUGAGCGAUUGUCCACAUUUGUUUUUCGUUUUUCCAUUCUGAGUGCAAAUCCCAAUUUCUUCAUUUGGAAGUGCCCGUUAGAUUGCUAUUCCAUAUUCUCAUUCUGAAGUUCUCUCUGUUUUGCUAGACCAAUGUGUGGUUCCUCUGUCUGCCCUCAGCCUCCUGGGAUCAGGCGUUGACUAGGCUGAACGCUUCACGCUUGAGCCAUGUGUAUCCAAUGACCCGGACUAUUAACCUGAGUGGUCCCGUUCCUGUUGGUCACUUGUGGAUACAGGCUCUUCACUAUUUAUUUUGUUUUUCUCCUCACUCCCUCACCCCCUGGGUGUUCCUGAGCCUUCGAUAUACCUCUGCUAAUUCACACCUGCAUUUGGGUCCCGUAUCUCCGCAUUGCUUCUCAUGUUUUGCUUGUUACUCCUAACCCAUGUUAUCACAAAGAUUUUCUUCAUUUACUUCAUAAGUUUACAUCCUUCUCUCUUAAAGGGGAAGUAUCAUCUGUUGCUUUGUGCCUUUUGACACUUAGUGGUAGGCUAUUGUGCAACAACAUUACUGAAUUACUGAAAAAUCAAGGGUAUUGCACAAGCAAUACUCUGCUUUUCAAGGGCUUUGAGGCAUAGCUAAGCAUUGGUUAUGCUUUUAAUGGGUAUUGCACAACUAAUGCUUCAGCCUGAACCAAUUCAGGGUUCAGAUGUGUCAUACGCAUUGUUAUUCUUUUCAAGGGUAUUGCACAACCAAUGCCACCCUAUUCAGGGCUCAGAAACCUCCCAAGCAUUGUUUAUCCAAGUAUCAGGUACGUGCACUUUCGUGGUUAAUGUGUAUUUAGUCAUAUUCUGUGUUAUGUUUCAUACAAUUAUUUAUAUUUUUUUCAGGUUUAUCUUCACCUUCUGAAGACAUGGUUUAUAUUGUUUUUUUUUUUUUUUUUUUUUUUUGCUUUUGGGGGAUUAAAUUAAGAAGUUCUCAUUUCCUUUUGGGGUAAAUUCCUCUCCCCUGCCAUUAUCAUCUUCCGACAAGAGCUGAUAGUUCGAACAAGAAUCUUAGCACUGAACCAUAAGACGGAUCUUAUGCCAAAGGAAACUAUUCUAUCCACAUAUCCAUAAUUAUUGUCCAUUAUUCUGAGUCUUUCUGGUAGAAAUGGAACCAUAGCGGUAGUUCUGUAAGCAAGGCUCGUAGUAGCAUUACACCAUUCAAUUCAGGCAUCAUCCAAGCAUAAUCCAGUAUCUGCUUUAUAAGCUCUGCAGCUAUCUUUCAUCACUCAUUAUGCACAUUGUUUUUACUCCCCAUCCACCCCUUAACUACCAGUUUGGGUCCCGUCCUGCUGUAAGGGUAAGUUCCUCUCCCCUGCCAUCAUUGUCUUCUGGUGGGAUCUGAUGGCUCGAAUGAGAAUCUUAGCGCUGAACCGUAGGACAUGGCUUAGGACAAAGGAAACUAUUUUAUCCCCAUAUCCAUGAUUAUUCUCAGUUAUUCCAAAUAUUUCUGGUGAACUGGUAAGUGGAAGGUUGUUGGUUCAAUCCCCACAGCCAAGGCACGUAACUCCAGGUUGCUCCAGGGGGAUUGUCCCUGUAAUCAGGGCACUGUAAGUCGCUUUGGAUAAAAGCGUCUGCCAAAUGCAUAAAUGUAAAUGUAAAAUAAGACUGUCCGUCUCGCCUAGGGCGGCAAAAUGGUCAGAAACUGCCCUGGAUGUGAAGAUAUUCAGAUUAUAUACAUAGAAUAUUUUCAGAAGUAAUAGACUAAAUCAACGUUUAUGUUUUUAAGCAUUUCGUUUUUCAUCAAAUCAUCCCGCGGGCCACAUUGGAGUCCUUUGCAGGCCACAUUUGGCCGCAUGUUUGACACCUCUGGUGUAGGGAGACCGACUCAAUUUGAGUCAUUCACACAGCGUCACAGAAGUGGGCCGUCACUGCAGAACUCGUUGUAGAAGUGCGUGUGACUGCAUCAGUUUUACCGCACUAAUGAUGGCCCUGUUUAUAAUUUAUUGUUGAAAAUAUACACCUCUGGAAAACAAAUUAUGGGAUUUUUACUUUCGCAUCCAGACUGCAAUUUAAAAAAAAAGUAAAAAAUGGACGAGGCCUUUAAUAUAUUCCACUCCAACACAGGAAAUAAUUUUAUGGGGUCUUCAAAGCAAUUAUAGCCCUUUUCCAAAAUGUGUAAAUGUGUACAGUGAAUA